AGGCAGGGGAAACUAGAAACUUUCAAUGCCCAGUGGCCAGCAAGCCUUGGCUGCGUGAGGACGUGUCUCGUUAGAUGAUAAAAAGUAAAGUCGCGUACCGCGAUAGUGAGGCGUCCGAUUUGUGCGUGUGUGUGCGUGUUUUUUUGUUCCGGGGAGGUUACCUCGGCUCUAACAAGACGAUUCGAGGAAAAAAAAUCAAGAAAGAUCCCGAACUCUUUAACCUGUAGUGGUUCACCGAGACCCUGGAAAUCUUUUUCAUUAAUUUCUUCCCCGUUGUUUUAUUUCCGCCCUCCCCUCGAUGCCCUUUGCCCCCGCAAAGCUCCGCAAAGUCACAUAACUAACUUAACCUAGACGACGUCCAGCAAUCUUUCUCGAUACAAUACGAACUGAAUUGUGCUUCGAAUAAACGAAAAAAAAGUAAAUACAAAAACCGCUGGAAUAGAUCGAGUCACUGCCACCAGCUGAGUGCAUACCGUGUGUCUGACAAGAGUCCUGUGAAAAUUUAAAGUUCGUGCGUGCGUGCUUCGAACAUAACCUGAGUUGGAUUUUAAAAGGAUCUAGAGAAAAAAUGAACUUAAAUCCAAAGUUCAUCGGUAGUAUUUUCUUUUUUAUAUAAUCAAACUGCACGUAAGAUAAAACUGAGAAGAUUAAUCGAUAUUAUAAAAUAAGUAUACCUCAAACGACGUUGCGAUUCCUUUCUAUUCCAAACAAGGUCAAUAGGACGUUAGCAGUGAAUUUUUUGGCAAUAACGAGACCAAAGGAGGAUCCUAAAAAAGUGUCGAAAUAGAGAGGCGUCUGUGCAUCGUGCGAGAGAUAAGGUUGUGAGUAAUAUUGUGGAAUCAAGGUAAACAAAGGAAAUAGGAAACCUCCGUCGUUUAUAUCCUUAUUACCGAUUUGGUUGUGGGAUGACAGUGUUUAGUGAGGCGUGAAAAAGGAGGAAAAGGUGAAUGCAAAAGUCGUUGAACGCAAAAUAUGGGAAUUUAAUCGUGUCGAACGUGUCGAGAAGGGAAAAAAUACCGUUCCGGAAUACACGUAUACACGAAGCGCGGUUCGGAAUAAUUGUGCAAUAACAUGUACCAGGUGAUCGAUUUGUGAAAAAGUCUUUUUACAACCGUUAAGUGGAGUGUUUAGUUGGUGUUUGGCGAUAUCAAACACGGCGAGCAGAAGGUCACGCCUAUCUCUGAUUUGCAAUUCACGAUUUUAUUGUGCAAUAAUCUUUACUUGUCCCGAGGAGCUACGGACGUCGAAAUCAUGAAUACGUUAAGUGGGAAUUUGACGUAAGGAGUACUUCGUAAACAAAAAAACGAAGACAAACUUUGAUCAGCUGAAUGGAGUGACGACGGAGUCGCGUAAAUAAAAUUAAAACCCAAACAUAAAUUAGAUGAAUCAAUAGCGGAAGUAAAUAAACAAAUUUAAUCUGGGUUCUUAAGAGUGAUUGACCGAGAGUUUAGAUCGAGUGGUUUUCAUAGGGUUAAAAUAACCCGACAACACACCGCACUCUCAAGAGUAAAUAAAUAUAGAAAACUAUCUUUGUCGUCGUCCGCUAGAAGAGGAAUCUAGAGGGGAUCCAGCGCGUCCCGCAUUCAUUCUCAAACGAAGUAAUCUAAUCCAUUCGAUCCGACCGUGAAGGGGGGCGGGUAUUCGGGAUCAAAAGAACAAAAGGAAGAUCAAAAUACCCGAAAAAGAUAAAAGCGGGGACCCCGAACGAGCGGAAAUAAUCGAGCAUCCCGCGCACCGGAGAGCACCGGAUAAAGUGUCGAAGAUCUCGGUGCCGUUGAAAAAAAAUAAUAACAACAACAAAGACAGGAACAAUACGAAGAACGAUUGACGGAGGACUUCGCUGGGCCUGAUAGCCUCUGGCUCGGUGCCCUGCCUAGGGGGGCCUAGGUGAAAUUUAAUGGCAGUGGUGGGGCCCAGCCGGCACUCGCGGGUGUCCAUGAGCGUGUCCAUGUCGCUUAUGCAGGGGGGUGGGGCAGGUACGACUGCCGGGGGUGGAGGUGGAACAACCGGGACUCACCCAGGGCAAGCAGUUCUCGCCGCUGCCCAGGCCCCUCCGACUUAUUAUCACCCCGCAGCACCAGCGCCUCCUCCGCCUCCACCUACUCAGGAUCCCGUUCAGCCCGACAGGCCCAUCGGAUACGGGGCAUUCGGCGUUGUUUGGGCUGUCACUGAUCCCAGAGACGGACGUAGGGUGGCGCUUAAAAAAUUACCGAACGUCUUUCAAAGCCUCGUGAGCAGCAAACGUGUGUUUAGAGAACUCAAGAUGUUGUGCUUCUUCAAACAUGAAAACGUACUCUCUGCGUUAGACAUACUCCAACCACCGCAUCUAGACUUCUUCCAGGAAAUUUACGUCAUCACCGAGCUCUUACAAAGUGACCUGCACAAGAUCAUCGUCAGCCCUCAACAUCUCAGCGCAGAUCACAUAAAGGUCUUCCUAUAUCAGAUUUUACGAGGACUAAAGUAUCUCCACUCUUCAAGAAUUCUACAUCGCGAUAUUAAGCCCGGAAAUCUUUUGGUAAACAGCAAUUGCGUCCUGAAGAUCUGCGACUUUGGACUAGCCAGAGUCGAAGAACCUGAUCAAAACAAGCACAUGACUCAAGAGGUGGUAACGCAGUACUACAGAGCCCCAGAAAUUUUGAUGGGUGCUCGACAUUAUUCCGCAGCCGUUGACGUAUGGAGCGUUGGCUGUAUUUUUGGAGAACUUCUCGGGAGACGAAUUCUCUUCCAAGCCCAGAGCCCCGUCCAACAGCUCGAACUAAUCACCGAAUUGCUGGGAACUCCGACUCUCGAAGACAUGAAAUACGCCUGCGAAGGUGCUCGAUCCCACAUGUUGCGACGAGCACCCAAACCACCCUCACUAACGGCCCUCUACACCCUCAGUAGCCAGGCUACGCACGAAGCGGUUCACCUACUCUGCCAGAUGCUCGUUUUCGACCCAGACAAGAGGAUCACGGUAGUCGAUGCGCUAGCUCAUCCAUAUCUCGAUGAGGGAAGGCUACGCUAUCAUUCUUGUAUGUGCACGUGUUGCUACACCGCAAGCGCGGGGAUGCGACAGUACACCGGGGAUUUCGAGCCAGCAACGUCGCACACCUUCGAUGAUCUAUGGGAACGAAAGUUGACCAGUGUGCAGCAGGUGAAAGAGGAAAUGCACAAAUUUAUUGCGGAACAGCUGAAUACAACGCGCGUGCCACUGUGCAUAAACCCACAGUCUGCGGCGUUCAAGAGCUUCGCAAGUUAGAGCAAGCCAUCUGCCAACCCAGCACCGUGCGCCGCGUAUACGUACACAUUACCACUACCGAAUCAACUAUCUACCACUGUCAGCUACCACUAUCAACUACUACUAUCAGCUACUACCAAUCGUUACGUCUUCUCCUGAACGAAAGAAUGACAGAGAAUCAGCUAUAGUCGGCACGACCUCGCUCGCAGAGCUCAACAGUGGCCCAUCCUUCGGAACUGCCACCUUCUCCUCAUCAGUGGGAAUGAAACUUCUUCGGGGCCAACAAUUUCCGAUCUACAAGGGCAUAUGAGUUUCCUGAUAAAUACUUGGUCACAUUGACACAAGGAAGAAAAUGAAAAAUGAACAAAAAAAGGAAAAGAAAAGGAGGAAAUUUAAAAAGAACCCAUGAUGAACGGAGAGUAAGCAGUUGGGCCCCCAGAGCACUAAGAGAGACAAUAGACUGCCGAGCUAGUAGCCUCAAAUUCGAGUCUAGCUAAUAGACGAAUAUAGCUAAAUAAUAGACAAAUAGUACGGAUACAAAAUAGCAAAUAAAAAAAUAGGCCAGUUCAUAGUUUGACUCGUACAAAGACAGCUGGCGUUCAACUGAUUAUUGUUACGAAAUAGUGUUAAUUCUUAGUUCUAAUGUGUACAAUGUGCACGCAAAGGAUGAAAUGGAAAAGAUUAAAUAAAUGAUUGCUGCUGCACAUUUCAGCUGUUGAAAAAGAAUGGUUAUGAAAAAAUAAAAGGAACGCCGAGUAUCCUGAAAAUACGAAGUAUUUAGUAAAUGUAGAAAAAUUGAAACGGAUGGGGUAUGAUAGGCAUAUUAUCGUCCUGAAAGCAUGACGUUAUAUUAUUUUGAAAAAACUGAUACCACUGCUGUUUGAAAAUUUAGUUUAUUGCUUUUAAUCAUAGCCCAGAUAUUUUAGAAGAAAAAACCGACUGAACGUUGUGUAAUAUAAAGCUGAUUACUGCUCUACGUAUGUAACAUUAUCUAGUGUCAGCUUGUUGUAAUCGUUUAUUCAAUUAUGCAUUUUGAUAUAUCAUAGUUGUGUAUCAAUUCCAUAAAAUAUCAACCAAACAGCGUCAAAUCAUUGCAGAAUACUAACAAAGUAAACGAGUAUAACCAGUUAUCAAGUUGUGCAAUUCACGCUUGACACAUGUUGGUUACACUCAUUAGUAAAAUUGGGAGUUAGGUAGGAACAACCGAUUCCUAAUACAAAGACGGAAAUAAUUCCAAUGCCACUGCCCAAGAAUCUUUUAAACUAAAGAGGUAUUAGUCCGGCGAAAUCAAUGCACUGUUACAAAUAAUUGUACAUACACCACACAUUACUUAUUUUUCAAAUACCUAUGUACCAAGCAGUACCACGAACAGUUUUCCGGAUUCAUUACAAGAUAUCAAUAUUGAACAAAUUUUAUUGUCGUCAAGUGUAUCUUUCACCUGUAAGUUACGCCUUGGCUACGGCCUCGCUGUGGUAGACUAUCUAAAUUUCCCUGAGGAAUAACCAUAUACACAUUUUUUCGUUAGAUGAUGGUGUGAGAUUGUAAAGUGUUGGGACAAAGAUGUAAAUCUGUUUAAUAGUGAUUUUCUUGCUCUUUAUCUGAAAAUUUAUUGCGGUAUUGAAGUAACAUACAUAUACUAUAUUCUGAGUGUGAUUUAGAUUAAAGAGAAUAAUAAUAGAUAGAUUAACUUAGGAUAGAAAACCAACUUUCAUUUUGUAAAAAUGUGUUCUCUUUUUUACACAAAAAACUAGGUAAUUAUAUUUUAAAAUAAUGUUAGUAUAAUAAGUAUUUUAGCUAUAUGCGUCAGAGCAUCUUCAGGCUAAAAAAUUUUGUGCUGAAAAAAUAGCAAAUGAAAAGUACGUGUGUGAAAUGAAUUACUGGAAACAAGCAAAUAUACGCCGUGCUUUAAAUUAAAUUAAUGAUACUACUAUUACAUUUGAGUGUAAUUUCAGUAGCGUAUUCAACUAGUAUAUAUCUGUUAUAUUUAAUCACUCCACUAUGUUUACAAAUCAUUUGUAUAUAAACCAUCUUCGCAAUGUAUAUUAAACACAUCAACGUAUUACGCACGAGUUUGAAAGCCAUUUUACAGUUUAUAAAAGAUUAAGUCUAAGAUGACACUUCAAAUUUAACGUUUAUGUCGCAGAGAUCGCUCAAUGAAUACUCGAGAGGAUCAAGGUUACGAAAAUGAUAUCAUUAACUAACUUUGUAAUAAUGCAUGUUACUCAAAUUCAUCGUGGCGCGUCUCAAUUCCAUCAGACUAAUGAUUUUUAAUUUAGAAGUGGAUUAGAACAUAUAUAUUCGGUAUUUUCAUAUCACAGUUUUAAUUAUUUGACCUAAAACUGUAAAGUGACAAUAUGUAGAGUAACCCGAGAUUUAGUGUGCUUAGUGUAAACCAAGUGAGAUGAAUAAAACCGACUAGUAUCUCAAAGGUGAAUACUAGAACAGUUGUACAUGACAAUGGAAUGCAAUGAAAAUUAAAGGAGAAGAAGAAAAAUCGAACGUUAGUCGGUUUAAGGUACAUUCUUUAUUUUUACUGCCGAGCGGCUGCGUACCUACCUGUAUAUAAAAUACGUUAUAUACUUCUUUAAAACUUUAAAAGUAAUUGGUCAGUUUACUUACAUAAAAGAAAAGAAAAAACUAAAAAAAAAGUUGAAGAAACAUAAAAUAAAAUAUAAAACUUUUCUUAUUUAUCGCCAAAUAUUUCAGGUGUAUUUUGAACGUAUCAUACUUGGCAAUUAAUUGUAUGCUAUAUUUAUGGGUGUUCUCUGUGUAAACUGCAUCACGGCUUCGAAAAGAUCAAUUUAUAUUUCAAAUGUCGAAAAGAACAUGUAUAUAAAAUACAUCACACCCACACACACAGGCGGUAGAAUUGAAUCACCCGAGUUACAUGAUCGCUAAUUAUUUGGUGGUCCCUUCAUCAUUGCGAUUGGAAGUAUUUGUAAUAAGUGUAAAUAGUUAUUAUCCAGACAAGAUGUGCAAGAUACGCGUAUGAAGGAUGCGCAUAAACGGCAUUAACCAUGUAAUGUAGAUAAAUUUCAUUGUAUAGACAGGACUGGUUCUGUAAGAUCAAAAACCAAGUAGCACUCAAUGAUUGUAAAGGGGCGGCUAAAAAUGCUUACCGAAUAGUUUUAAAAAGGCUACAAACUUGUGAAAGUAUGCAUAUUGAAUUUAAUAUCACAACAAUUUCACAUCCUACAUUCUCUACAUUCAUAAAACACGCCUAUGUGUCUCUUGAUUUAAAAAUUUUGGAAAAAUCUUAUUGUUAAUGUUGAUUGGUGUUUCAUAAGAAGAAUUAAUUUCCACGCAGUUUCAUGAGAGAUCCCGUGACAGAGUAUUUGAACUCAAUGCAAUUUUUUAUGACGAAGCACUCUUGUUGCAUUGAUGAAUCUCUGCCAAUUAAAGCUGUAAAUUGAAACAUACUUACUUAGAGCUACUCAUGGAUCAAUCACAUUUUGAAAAAGUAUCGGGUUUCUGUUUCUGCAAUUACAGAGAGCAUGUACAUAACAACGUACACCGUAAUAUUAAAUGAAAAUGUCCAGACACAUUGUAAAUUUUAUACGUAGCUAGAUCAUCGAAUAUGGUUAGCAUAAAUUAAAUUUUAAACGGACAGGUACUUGAUCGUCCAAUACAUAUUCUAAUACUUCUCUAUGUUAUUUCAUUAGGUAAUGUUGGUCCAAUUCUGGAUCGAUAGUACUUGACUCUGUGUCACACAUGUUGAAUUGAUCCACGGUAUUUGAAAAUUUUUUAAAUAUUGAAGCUGAAAACUUUCCACACUAUUCCCCAAGUAUGAAAUGGAGGGAAAGAGAUGUUUGUAGCCACGAGAUACCGUAAGAUGUAUAAUAAACUAAUAAUAAUAUUCGAUUUCUGUAUAUAGUUUGAAACUGUUUGAAGCCUUGUGUUGACCUAAGGAGGAUGUGAAAUUAAAAGCUGCAAAAAUUUUUCAGACUUUAGUUUCUGUUCGAUCAAAAAACAGCUUUAACAUAAAAUUAUAAAGGAAUUUCGCUUUUCCGGUCAAAGCGUAGUACGCAAGGCUUGAUGCAGUUGAUUAAAAUGAAAGAAUCUUGUAACCCGUAAACGCUAAGUAAAGAAUAUGGAAUAAUGUUCGCUUAUGUUAUCUUAAGAGAAAAAUAGCACGGAAAUGGGACGUAAAACGCAUGUAAAUAUUUAUGCAGCCAGUAAGCGUGAACCCUGUCCUGCCAAUAUAGCCAGCAAGAGCUGCCUGAUAUGAUAAUUCGAAAGUGUGAUUGGAAGUAUUGCACUAUACCUUCACUAUUUUAGUUGUUUUUAUGCUGUGGAAUUAUCUGAUUCUUUUUUUGUUUUUUUUUUCUUUCACAUUAUUCUCGAAACGGUGAGCAUUAAUCUUCGUUUAAAAUUCCGCGUCUUUCACAGAUCUCAUUAUUAUAUCGAAGCUUAUAUCAAAGCCCAGAAAAACAUUCGUUUGGCCGUGAUAUACUGAGCGUUGCAGAGCAUUAUAAAACACGUUUGAUUGUACGUGAAAAAGUGAAAGAAAAAACAAAAGAUGGAAAUGAAAUCGAUUAAAACAUUUUAGACAAUAAUAAUAAGAAAAUAAUAAGAAUAUAUCAAUAUUUUUCUGAUGUUAUCUUGAAUUUUCAUUCAAUCUUGUCAUUUUGGUUUUUGUUUUUGCUCCUGAGCGCGUUGGAAUGAAGAUCUUUUUGUUUGUUUCAUGCUAGAAUGUUAUAAAAGGAAAGACAAAAGCUGAGUUUAACCCCUACUCUUUAAAGCACUCACUGUACAGACAGAUUUUUUCUACAAUACUUGGCCAGGUUUAUGAAAAUUAAAAAAGAAAUAUGAAAAGACGUAUGUACAAUGUAGUUUAAAUAGAUAAAAUAGUGGCAGAGCUAUGAGCUAAGUUUUACCAAAUGAAAUAAUGGUUUUCAAAGAGACUGCGCGGUCUGAACUGUGACAAUGGUAUUUUAGAAUUUAAAGUCUGCGUGGUAUUCUGACAACGAUUAAAAACUUACAUUUACGAAAUGCGAAUGAGAUUUUGUUCAUUGAAUCAAUUAUUAUACAUUGAAACAAUUUGAGAGGGGUUGCAGAAAAUAUUAAUUGACUUUUCCCACUAAAAAAGUAAAAAAAAAAAAAAAAUUUAAUAAAUCGAAUAAAUGAAGAAAUUCAAAUAAAAAACUAAGUUAAUCAUUAUGACGCAAGAUUUGUAAAUACGUAUAAGCUCACUGUGACUGGUCAGUUGGGCAUUUAUAAUUAUACCCGCGCACACAUUAUUGUAACACUAUUAUUUUAGAUUCAACAAUUUAAACUUCAGUCACGUGUAUGUAUAUUAUUUUCGUGCUGAAGACACAAAAAAAGGAGAAAAACACCUGUGAAAAAAAGAAAGAAACAAAAAAAUAAUACUGAAAAAGUUAUACUACCGAGACUAGGUAAUAAUUUAAUACAUAAGUCGUAAGGUACCUCACAUAUUACAUAAUAUACUAUAAAUAAUUCAGAAACAAUUUACUCUUCAAUAGCGAAUAUGCCUUCAAUAUGGAAAGUGGCUGGCACAAGAUGCACCCAACAAUAAAGUUGCUAAAGAAUUACAACAACUUAAGAAUAUAAUUUUCUUAUCAACUUUACUUAUUUAUCAUUCAAAGCACGAAUCCAUUCCAAAAAUUAUUUUCCACAUAUCCUCUUUUCAUUCAUUAUUCAAUAUUUUUAAUUAUGAUUUGAUUUCAGGUUUCUUCAGUUAUAGGUAAUGAUUGGUUACAAUUUUCUACACAUUAUCAUUGGUUGUAACAAUGAAUUAUCAAUUAGGAUGAGUUAAAAGUGAAACCUGCGAGAAAUUGAAGCGACUUUGUUGUUGCUACCCGUCGUAUAAUCAUCUGUAAAUAAUCAAAUCGCGAUUAAGAGGUGAUAUGAUACCGUCACCGACUAUAUUCCUAAAUAAUAAGUUAAUACCAUACGACUUAAUGAAUGUAAAAGAAAUAAAAUUGGUAAACGUAUCGCACAGCUGUACCAAAAAUCACAGUAUUGAAUUGGUUGUAUUCGUAUGGUAGAUAACGCACGCACGUAAAAGCAAAAUGAAAAAAAAAAACAAAAAACGUAAUAAAAAAAAAAUUAAAUAUCGUUGUUGUUGCUUGAGUAUCAGUAGGAAUUAGCGGUCAAGGUAAGAAAUGAUGACCUGUCGUUAGUAACUAAGAGGCCUUAAUAUAUCAUGUUUAUAUAACAUUAAUAAUUAAUUAAUGACGUUGUGAACCGAUAAUUAGUACCUAGUGUUACGAUUAGCAAUAGUUAAUUGUAAUAUUUGAAGUUGCAUUAUAACCACAUAUGUGUCUAAACGGUUCCUGCAAUUGGGAGUAAUUCGUUUUAGAAUUUCCAGUCUAGAAUCUUCGAAAUAUGAAAUAUUAGUAUUUUUUCUUGUCCUUGAAAAGCUUUUCUCCGUGAAGCUUCCGAAGAAGUGAAAUAUCGUCUAUCCAUCAGGAUUAUCCGGUUAGUUCUCGAAAUUUGAAUUGAAACCAUUUCUCACAAAUUAUGCCGAACCAUAGGCCAUUUCGUCGGAGGAUAUAUCACUCAUCACUGCCACCACCAUUACCAUUUUAUACAUAAAUCUUAUGCGCUAUGCGUCAGGGAAAAUUGAGAAUUAUAAUUUUGGAAUCAUUCAAUCAUGAUUUUAAAUGUCUUAUUACUUUUUUUUUUAUAUAAAAUUUCAAAUUGAAAUCAAUUAUGGAGCCACUGCAGAAAUCAACAAGCGUUUACAUUGCCGGUUAACUGAAUAUGACCAUACGAAUGAUUUUUGCAACCUGGAAAUUAUGUAAAUAUAGCGUAUAUGGAUUGAUUCGCGUACCUUGAAAGUAGCUGUACAAUUUUGAAUAGAAUACGUAGUUGAUAUACAGUAUAUAAAUAUAGUUGAAUGUGUAUGUACAUACGAGAUAAGCAUUAAUCUUCAGACAUUGUACAUUUUAUAAUUGUAUUUUAAAUAUUUAAAUUAGGAAAUUUAAAAUAGGACUAAUGAAGUUACGAUGCUUUUCAUCUUUUCAAUCUUCAUGAUGUAAUUAUAAGGUAUAAUCAACGCAACUAUACAUGUAAUAAAUACUCAAUAAUCUCUAGAACCGUGCGAUUUUAAUGAUAUAUAUUAUAUCUAAGUUUAUCCAAUAACUUUAGGCUUAAUAUCUAUAUGUUUCUUUGACUAUCUUUGUAUCAAAUAUUCUAUAGCGAAGUUUUGUGAAACAAAAAGAAAAAUCCAAAAAAAAAAAACAAACAAAUUUGUCGCUUUAUAGAAUAUCUCAAAUAACUCAUUCAAGUCACGCAAUUACAAAAUUGGAUUUUGUAUUUCUAACGCUUCAUAUUUGGAGUAUAAUAUCUGAUAUAAAUGAAAACGGAAUCACUGCAGCUCAAUCAAACCAUUAAAAUAAAUAUUAAUUAAUCAAUCACCGUCUCAAGUCUGAAAUAUAUCCUAAAUUUAUAUAUAUAUAUUUCGCUGCGCAAGAAGUACUUGAAUCGCGAUAUAGUGUUGCGUGAUAAAAUUUUCUCGAUGUUUCUCGGUGUUGGUAAAUACAACUUGUAAAUAUAUAAUGUGUCUACCGUCAACUUAACAUAUACCUAUGAGCCUUAAAUCGGUUGCAAUUUCAAAUUUAAAAACAGAAAAAAGACAAUUUUUAAUAGAUCUAUCGGGAAUAUUCAUCUCUUUAGCGCAAAUUGAUGGUGUAGCUUUAUUCGAAUGACAUUUUGAGUCGGCUAUGAUAAUUUUUGUGACUCUAGGGCUACGCAGAGUUUGUUAAGACAGUAAGAUCGAGUGAUCCUUCUUUUAUUCUUUUCAAAAUUCGAUUGUUUGUGGAUCCUUAAAAAUGAAGUCGGGAAAAUGCGAGCGACUAGCUCAUUUGGUAUUUUAUACAGGGUGAGUCACUCCAAGUGUCGAGAAGGGGAGGGACUUGAAAGGCACGAGGCUCCACCCCUUCAGCCAAUCAACAACUAGAAGAGUUCGGUAUGUGAUACAAUUACUUGGGAUAGGUGAGAAAUAUCAACAACUACUCAAAAUAAAUGAAUACCUAACAGCCUGGUUGAGUAGUCGUUGAUAUUCCUCACCUAUCCCAAGUAAUUGUAUCACAUACCGAACUCUUCUAGUUGUUGAUUGGCUGAAGGGGCGGUGCCUUGUGUCUGUCAAGUCCCUCCCAUUCUCGAUGUUUCGUGUGACUCGUCCUGUAUAUGAAAAACUUGUAUGAUAUUUGAUUAUGAAUCUAAUUGACUUUGAUCACAAAACCAAGUACCUAUCUAAUAACUAUGUAAAUAAUAACGAUAAUGAAAAUAAUUAUUAAAUAUAAAUGUAACAAUAAUGGAUAAUAGAAACGUUACAAAAUCAAUAUUUAGAUUAUAGUUUUAUGUGAACACGCGACAGCUGUUCGGCCUUACCGCUCUCUCAUAAUAUCUUCGUAAUAUUGUUCACGAAACUGACAGAAUUUCGGCAGUGUGAGGAGGAGUUAUAAGGUCUCAUUUGAUUCAUGAUUAAAUUUUAUCCACGGCCAAAGUAAUUAAUAGGAGAAAACGCGCGACUUCUGUUUUUUCUUAUCCGUUAAAUUAUGGUAUCGAAAAACUCAAACUGCACAUCGACGCAAAUAAAAUCAUAAUUAUUUUUUUCGCUAAAACUGAAGAGGACGCGCGUUAAUCUCGUUGUAAAUAAUAAAUUGUAGUAUACAUAUGUACACAUAUAUAUUGACAACUAAACUCAUGUAUAACUACGAUUAUAUCUGAGCCUAUGCCACUAUAUUGAACUUUUAACACAGUUUAUUCUAUCUAUUUGUACGUCGGUUCGAUUAUUGGAUAUAGAUUUUUUAUCACCCUAUUAUCUGCGUGUACGAUUCUAUCUAGUUAGAAGGGAAACCAGUAAGGAAAUUGGCUCUGAUCCAGCGCAAUUACAAGAUUCUUAUUCGAUCGAAACUCAAAAUUUUUAUCCGGCAAGACGUUAUUAAUGAUAACUUAUUCGAAAAUUUCUAUCUUUCAGAGCUGAUGGCCAUCAGCUUGUAUCUCUCUUCGUCUAACUCUGGGUAGUUAUUGGGUCAACUUGCAGUAGGUAGUUGUUCUCAUUUUUUCGUCAUAAAAUCACUUUGACAAUUAUAUUCGGGAACACAGAGAAGGGGAAAAAACGGCUCAUUUUUACUAAUCGUUGCAACUGACUCUAGAUACCGCAAUUACGGUCCAUUCUCACGUAGAUUUUUAUUUAGCCGUGUGAUUCUUUCUCGGAAAAUCUAAUUCUCAAGUGUGAAUUUAUGAUGAACAAGUUAAUUGAUCGUAGCACGUUGUGAAUUUUCACCAAUUUAUAAGUCGCCGGGGUGUAGAGUAUAAUAAAUGAAACGAAAUUAUAAAUGGUCGCGACUGUUAAUUUGUCGUAGCUAUAGUUGGAAAACAGAAAUGAUGUUUAACAAUAAUGAAUUUGAAAAAGGGAUCUUAAUAAGAAAAAAUAAUAAAAAUUAAAAAAAAAAAAAAAAA